UUGCUCACUUUGGCAGCACAUAUGCUAAAAUUGGGGUGAUACAGAGAUUAGCACGGCCCCUGCACAAGGAUGACACCCAAAUUUGUGAAGCAUUCCAUAUUUUU
ensembl:snRNA U6 U6 spliceosomal RNA